rnacentral:rRNA from 1 species
GACGUAGGAGGCGAGCGUUGUCCGGAUUCAUUGGGCGUAAAGAGCGCGCAGGCGGCUUGGUAAGUCGGAUGUGAAAUCCCGAGGCUCAACCUCGGGUCUGCAUCCGAUACUGCCCGGCUAGAGGUAGGUAGGGGAGAUCGGAAUUCCUGGUGUAGCGGUGAAAUGCGCAGAUAUCAGGAGGAACACCGGUGGCGAAGGCGGAUCUCUGGGCCUUACCUGACGCUCAGGCGCGAAAGCUAGGGGAGCAAACUGG